UACAGAGGUCUCAAGCGUUGUUCGGAUUCAUUGGGCGUAAAGGGUGCGUAGGCGGCGCGGUAAGUCGGGUGUGAAAUCUCGGGCUUAACUCCGAAACUGCAUUCGAUACUGCGGUGCUUGAGGACUGGAGAGGAGACUGGAAUUCAUGGUGUAGCAGUGAAAUGCGUAGAGAUCAUGAGGAAGACCAGUGGCGAAGGCGGGUCUCUGGACAGUUCCUGACACUGAGACACGAAGGCCAGGGAGCAAACGGG
rnacentral:rRNA from 1 species